UUGAACGCAAAUGGCGGCCCUCGG
rnacentral:rRNA from 1 species